rnacentral:ncRNA from 1 species
GGCCGUGGACGACCACGGCUCACCAAUCUCACGGCGGGACGGCCCGC